AUUUCAAAGAGGAAACAUCAAAAUUCCCUCCGUGCCUUUUAACUACCAUUUUGGUAACAUUCUGGUGAGUAUGAAUUCCAUAGUUCCUUUUUAGUCCACAUAAAUAGUAUUUUUAAUUGAUUUCAUAUUGAGUUUCUAUUCCCCAGCUAACCUCUGCUGGAGGUCAUCCAAACAAGUGCAAGCCCUGAAGCAGGAAGUUCUGACUUGAGGCUGAAAGAUAGUGGAGAGGUGCUCCAGCCCUUCGAUCAUCUUCGUUACUUCCUCUGGAUCUGCUCCAAGAGCUCUGCAUCCUUCAUGUACUAGGGCCCUCAGGCAUGGACAUAGUACUCCAGAUGGGGACUCACAAAGGCAGAGUAGAUGAGGACAAUCACCUCCCUCUCCCUGCUGGC
ensembl:lncRNA